rnacentral:rRNA from 1 species
UACGUAGGUGGCAAGCGUUAUCCGGAUUUAUUGGGUGUAAAGGGCGUGUAGGCGGGAGCGCAAGUCAGAUGUGAAAACUCAGGGCUCAACCCUGAGCCUGCAUUUGAAACUGUGUUUCUUGAGUGCUGGAGAGGCAAUCGGAAUUCCGUGUGUAGCGGUGAAAUGCGUAGAUAUACGGAGGAACACCAGUGGCGAAGGCGGAUUGCUGGACAGUAACUGACGCUGAGGCGCGAAAGCGUGGGUAGCAAACAGG